ACGGGAAAACAGGGGCAACUCUGUGAGUACAGUGGCGUACGGGUGAGUAACACGUGACUACCUACCCUCGAGUGGGGGAUAACCCCGGGAAACCGGGGCUAAUACCGCAUAACAUCGCAAGAUCAAAGGAGCAAUUCGCUUGAGGAGGGGGUCGCGGCUGAUUAGCUAGUUGGUGGGGUAACGGCCCACCAAGGCAAUGAUCGGUAGCCGGCCUGAGAGGGCGCACGGCCACACUGGAACUGAAACACGGUCCAGACUCCUACGGGAGGCAGCAGUGGGGAAUUUUGCGCAAUGGGGGAAACCCUGACGCAGCAACGCCGCGUGGAGGAUGAAGUCCCUUGGGACGUAAACUCCUUUCGACCCGGACGAUAAUGACGGUACGGGUGGAAGAAGCACCGGCUAACUUCGUGCCAGCAGCCGCGGUAAUACGAGGGGUGCGAGCGUNGUUCGGAAUUAUUGGGCGUAAAGGGCGCG
rnacentral:rRNA from 1 species